UACGGGGGGGGCAAGCGUUGUUCGGAAUUACUGGGCGUAAAGGGCUCGUAGGCGGCCAACUAAGUCAGACGUGAAAUCCCUCGGCUUAACCGGGGAACUGCAUCUGAUACUGGAUGGCUUGAGUUCGGGAGAGGGAUGCGGAAUUCCAGGUGUAGCGGUGAAAUGCGUAGAUAUCUGGAGGAACACCGGUGGCGAAGGCGGCAUCCUGGACCAACACUGACGCUGAGGAGCGAAAGCCAGGGGAGCAAACGGG
rnacentral:rRNA from 1 species